GCAUAAUAAAGGCAAACCCGCCGAAAGACGGGGACGCAAAGCCAGGAGUCUAAGGGUUAGACUACGACCGUCCGGCUGCUAUG
rnacentral:ncRNA from 1 species